rfam:Zymomonas mobilis subsp. pomaceae ATCC 29192, complete genome.
GGGCGCGUAGCUCAGUGGUAGAGCACUGUGUUCACAUCGCAGUGGCCGCUGGUUCAAUCCCAGCCGCGCCCA